AAGACUAUACUUUCAGGGAUCAUUUCUAUAGUUUCUGACUUGGAAAUUUGGUUCGAAAGUGUUACGUCUCUCUAACCGCGAUGAUGAGCUGCGAUACUUCUUUCUGAGCGUGAAUCGGAUGGAGAAUAAUGAGUAAAAUCAUCCGUUCUCCAUCAUUGAUGAACGUUCCUGCUGUGUUUCACAGUCAGGAGGAAGGAGGUAUGAUCAGAGUGGU